rnacentral:rRNA from 1 species
AGAGUUUGAUCAUGGCUCAGGAUGUACGCCGGCGGUGUGCCUAAUACAUGCAAGUCGUACGCACUGGCCCAACUGAUUGAUGGUGCUUGCACCUGAUUGACGAUGGAUCACCAGUGAGUGGCGGACGGGUGAGUAACACGUAGGUAACCUGCCCCGGAGCGGGGGAUAACAUUUGGAAACAGAUGCUAAUACCGCAUAACAACAAAAGCCACAUGGCUUUUGUUUGAAAGAUGGCUUUGGCUAUCACUCUGGGAUGGACCUGCGGUGCAUUAGCUAGUUGGUAAGGUAACGGCUUACCAAGGCGAUGAUGCAUAGCCGAGUUGAGAGACUGAUCGGCCACAAUGGAACUGAGACACGGUCCAUACUCCUACGGGAGGCAGCAGUAGGGAAUCUUCCACAAUGGGCGCAAGCCUGAUGGAGCAACACCGCGUGAGUGAAGAAGGGUUUCGGCUCGUAAAGCUCUGUUGUUGGAGAAGAACGUGCGUGAGAGUAACUGUUCACGCAGUGACGGUAUCCAACCAGAAAGUCACGGCUAACUACGUGCCAGCAGCCGCGGCAAUACGUAGGUGGCAAGCGUUAUCCGGAUUUAUUGGGCGUAAAGCGAGCGCAGGCGGUUGCUUAGGUCUGAUGUGAAAGCCUUCGGCUUAACCGAAGAAGUGCAUCGGAAACCGGGCAACUUGAGUGCAGAAGAGGACAGUGGAACUCCAUGUGUAGCGGUGGAAUGCGUAGAUAUAUGGAAGAACACCAGUGGCGAAGGCGGCUGUCUGGUCUGCAACUGACGCUGAGGCUCGAAAGCAUGGGUAGCGAACAGGAUUAGAUACCCUGGUAGUCCAUGCCGUAAACGAUGAGUGCUAGGUGUUGGAGGGUUUCCGCCCUUCAGUGCCGGAGCU